rnacentral:rRNA from 1 species
AUGAGUUUUCGCCCAAAAGACCCUACGUUAUGCUCGUAGUUUCGCCCAAGGAUGGGGCCGCGACCGAUCAGGUUGUUGGUGAGGUAAUGGCUCACCAAGCCUUUUACCGGUGCGGGCCGUGGGAGCGGGAGCCCGGAGAUGGGCACUGAGACAAGGGCCCAGGCCCUACGGGGCGCAGCAGUCGCGAAAACUUUGCAAUAAGCGAAAGCUUGACAGGGCUAUCCCGAGUGCCAUCCGCUGAGGAAGGCUUUUACCCAGUCUAGAACGCUGGGGGAAUAAGGAGAGGGCAAGUCUGGUGUCAGCCGCCGCGGUAAUACCAGCUCUCCGAGUGGUGUGGAUGUUUAUUGGGCCUAAAGCAUCCGUAGCUGGCUAGGUUAGUCCCCCGUUAAAUCCACCGAAUUAAUCGUUGGAUUGCGGGGGAUACUGCUUGGCUAGGGGACGAGAGAGGCAGACGGUAUUUCCGGGGUAGGGGUGAAAUCCUAUAAUCCCGGGAAGACCACCAGUGGCGAAGGCUGUCUGCUAGAACGCGCCCGACGGUGAGGGAUGAAAGCUGGGGGAGCGAACCGGAUUAGAUACCCGGGUAGUCCCAGCUGUAAACGAUGCAGACUAGGUGUUUGGACGGCCACGUGCCGUUCUAGUGCCGCAGGGAAGCUGUUA